CCUGCCCACUGAAAUUUUAAAUGGCCGCAGUAUUUUAACUGUGCAAAGGUAGCAUAAUCAUUAGUCUUUUAAUUGAGGGCUUGUAUGAAUGGUUGGACGAGAUAUAGGCUGUUUCAUAUAAAUUUAUAAUAAAAUUUUAUUUUUUAGUUAAAAAGCUAAAAUGUUUUUAGAAGACGAGAAGACCCUAUAGAGUUUUAUAAUUAAUUUAGUUUUAGUUAUUAAGAAUAAUUAAAUUAUUAUUUAAAUUAAUUAUUUUGUUGGGGUGAUAUUAAAUUUUUUAAAACUUUUAAUGAAUAAUUCACAUUUAUUUAUGAAUUAAAAUGAUCCAGUUUUAUUGAUUAAAAAAUUAAAUUACCUUAGGGAUAACAGCAUAAUUUUUUUAGAGAGUUCUUAUCAAUAAAAAAGAUUGUGACCUCGAUGUUGGAUUAAGAUAUGGUUUAGGUGCAGUAGUUUAAAUUUUAAGUCUGUUCGACUUUUAAAUUCCUACAUGAUCC
rnacentral:rRNA from 1 species